AUACGUAGGGGGCGAGCGUUGUUCGGAAUUAUUGGGCGUAAAGCGCGUGUAGGCGGUCUUUUUAAGUCUGAUGUGAAAGCCCCGGGCUCAACCUGGGAAGUGCAUUGGAAACUGGGAGACUUGAGUACGGGAGAGGAGAGUGGAAUUCCUAGUGUAGGAGUGAAAUCCGUAGAUAUUAGGAGGAACACCGGUGGCGAAGGCGGCUACCUGGACCGAUAUUGACGCUGAGACGCGAAAGCGUGGGGAGC
rnacentral:rRNA from 1 species